UCCGUUAUGGUCUAGGGGUUAGGAUUCUCCGCUUUCACGUUGAUUUCGCGAGCCGGAGCGGCCCGGGUUCGAUUCCCGGUAACGGAA
rfam:Diplodia corticola strain CBS 112549 scaffold105, whole genome shotgun sequence.